UCGAACGGGAUCAUUCCUUCGGGGAUGUGAGAGUGGCGAACGGGUGAGUAACACGUAGGUGAUCUACCGCUUGGCGGGGGAUAGCCCAUGGAAACAUGGGGUAAUACCGCAUACGACCGAUCUGCUGUGGCGGGUUGGGGAAAGGCGCUUAGGCGUCACCGAGCGAUGAGCCUGCGGCUGAUUAGCUAGUUGGUAGGGUAACGGCCUACCAAGGCAACGAUCAGUAGCCGGCCUGAGAGGGUGAUCGGCCACACUGGGACUGAGAUACGGCCCAGACAACUACGGUUGGCAGCAGCUAAGAAUCUUCCGCAAUGGACGAAAGUCUGACGGAGCGACGCCGCGUGGGCGAUGAAGGCCGUGAGGUUGUAAAGCCCUUUUCUAUCGGAGGAAUAAGCCUGGGAGGGAAUGCCCGGGUGAUGACGGUACGGUAGGAAUAAGCCCCGGCCAAUUACGUGCCAGCAGCCGCGGUAACACGUAAGGGGCGAGCGUUGUUCGGAAUUAUUGGGCGUAAAGGGCACGUAGGCGGCACGGUAAGCCUGGUGUGAAAGACCGCAGCUUAACUGCGGAGACGCGCUGGGAACUGCCGAGCUUGAGUGCUGGAGGGGGAGCUGGAAUUCCAGGUGUAGGGGUGAAAUCUGUAGAUAUCUGGAAGAACACCGGUGGUGAGGACGAGCUCCUGGCCAGAUACUGACGCUGAGGUGCGAAAGCGUGGGGAGCGAACAGGAUUAGAUACCCUGGUAGUCCACGCCGUAAACGAUGUGCACUAGGUGUAGGGUUCAUUAGCGACUCAGUGCCGUAGCCUACGCGUUAAGUGCACCGCCUGGGGAGUAUGCUCGCAAGAGUGAAACUCGAAGGAAUUGACGGGGGCCCGCACAAGCGUGGGAAGCAUGUGCUUUAAUUCGAUGAUACGCGGAGGAACCUUACCAGGGUUUGACAUCAUCCUGACAGCGGCAGAGAUGCCGGUUUCCUUCGGGACAGGAUGACAGCUGCUGCAUGGCUGUCGUCAGCUCGUGCCGUGAGGUGUUGGAUUAAGUCCCGCAACGAGCGCAACUCCUGCCAACUGUUGCCAGCAUUUCGGAUGGGGACUCAGUUGGAACUGCCGGUGACAAACCGGAGUAAGUUGGGUACGAGCUCAAGUCAUCAUGGCCCUUAUGUCCUGGGCUACACACGUGCUACAAU
rnacentral:rRNA from 1 species